AAGUAGAAAUCACAGAGAGAAAAGCCACAAUGCUACAAUGUGAAGCUCAAGGGUCAUAAUGGACGUCUAUAAAAGAAAAUAAUGAGAGAAAAACCCUAGCUCCACCAAUUUUCUUCCUUUCCAUUUCUCUCGAUCUAAACCUAUCUCUUCAAACUCAUAAAUAAAAUAGCAUCUUUAUUCCCAUUUUCUCUGGAUCUAAACAUAGCUCCGCCAACACAGACAUAGGGUUAAGGAGCUGCACCUGUAAGAUGUUGACCCUUGCAAGCAAAAUUCCUGGAUCCGCCACUGGG
rnacentral:lncRNA from 1 species